rnacentral:sRNA from 1 species
AGUGGCUCAUUCACCUGGUUAUGACAGCCCUGCGCAAGCGGACUAGUAGCUCAUAACAUCCCGAAUGACGCACAAAACGGUGCCUGCCGUCCACCCCACCGAUAAUCGUUCACUCUGUGACGUUAUCAAGCAUCGGACGAAACGUUGAGUUAGGCACCACCUC